ACAUUUUUUUUAAUUUUUUCCCUCAUAAAAUUGGUUCUAUAUUCCAUUUUGUCCGCGUUCUCGUGUGAUAUGACAAACGUCAGCACAGUAGGCUGUGUGUCACAGGAACCGGUUUGGCUUGGCUUUUCAAAACACGAAAUUAUUAUUCGGGUCGACUCAAAUACGAAACAAUAUAAAAAAUUCUUAAAAUUGUUUGGAAUUGAUUUGGAAAUACAGCCAAUGAAAAUGCAGAAGAACAACAAAUUUCCCUUGAAGAGCGCCGCGUUGGCGCUUCAACAUUAGAUGAAGUUGCCAUCGUGAUGUUGGUGAAAACAUAGAAAGACGUGAUAUUGUGAUUGCACGUCGCGAUGUUGGGCAAUUGCAAAAAAUAUCUGAAACACAUCGUUUAUAUAACACGUUGCUAUACUCGCUCAUGUUUUGGCAAGGAGAAGAUGGAUAUCAUUUUAAUAUCAAAAUAAUAAAUCCAUUGAGUGGUGAAGAAACUACAAAGAAAAUUAGUUCGAUGAAUUAUUACGCACAACGUUUGAUGAUUCGGCAGAAGAGGAAAAAAGGUCUAUAGCAAGUUGAUUGAAAUUUUUGAACAAAUUGAACAUUUCCAUAAUGGCAAUGAAAACCGAAUUAAUUUACUGAAAACCAGGAUUAAUAAAUGUUCUAAAGUAACAAACGUCACGUCUUCAUGAGAAAAAAACACCGUAAUUGUCGUCAUCUAUACCUGGUGGAUAUUGAUUUGGAAUCGGAUUCAACUGCUACUGCAGAUUCAUCUUACCGACCUGAGACAUCAGACAUGGAUUUUGAUGAAGUUUUUUUAUUUAGAAUACGAAAAGGUUUGAUACCUCCAAUUAUGCUAUGAUGUGCGGCAGAUUUGGUGUGUUAGACAGAGUUGCUGCUUGUUCCGCUACGGCACUUAUUAAAGAUGUAGGUUUCAAAGACAACUCUAAUUUAUAUGUAAAUAAAUGGAUGUUGAUUUCUGAUCAACAUAAAUGGACUGCUCGAUCUUCAUAGCCAAUGGUUACAAAAUCGGAUGACUAUAUAAUACCUACUUUACUGCGAAGAGCUGCAGCGAUGAACUCUUUCGCUUGUCACCAUUGCGAAAACCACACAACGAGCUUUCGUUUGAAAGCUUGAGAAGUAAAAGUUACGCGAUACCCUACAUUAGUCAGGUAUCUGGGUUUGAAACUUAGUUAGUUAGUUCCUUUGGAAUUUUGGCAGUGCGCUACAACCGAUUCCUCACUAAAAUGUAUAUCAAAUAAGAUUUUAUGAAUUCCAGUCAUUUCGACUGAGUCGGAGAGGAUGUUCAGCAAGGCUGGCUUAAUAGCAAGCGAGAGAAGAGCAUCACUAAAACCUAAAAAUGUGGAGAUGCUGACGUUCCUAAAUAGGAACAUAUGGAUCGCCAAAUAAAUGAGCCAAAUUUAAACGUGAACUUGGGAUCUCCAAAAAAACCUUAUUUUUAAGUUACUUAUGAAGUGUACUUUAC